CUUGAAUUUAUAAAUAUGAUAAUUUUUUUGGAAAUUGCACAUUGACCUACAAAUAAUUGUUGUAUUACCAAUUUCUUGAAGGUCUCAUUGUGGAAAAUUUAUUGUACGAGAAACGUACUCACACUACACAUGGUCCUGACAUGAACUAUUUAGCCCUAGUGACUUUAAAGCAGAGUAUUUUACGUAGGUGCGUGGAAGAAUGUACCCCACUUCGAGUGAUUUAUGAAGAAGAAACGUCAAGAUCACAAGGGUUAGAAGAUCGCCUAGAGUAUACUUCUCUUUUGAGAACCAUGGAAAGGACUAGAGCUGCAGCGCUACCAAAAAUACCAGGUGAUCUGAUGGAAUACGCAGGUAAUCUGAUAGAUGCUCGCUGAGUUCGUCUAUUCAGAACUGCUAAUGGACGAGCAAUGUUCAGAUGGUUUGUCAUGGGUCCUCCUGACGCUGGACCAACAUUCGUUUUUAUAUCUCUAUCCCUGGAAAAGUAAUUAGUUUUAACUGUCAAGAACAUAAUGUUAGAAUAUAAAUCUUCUCCUCGGUAUAUUCAACAUGUAUCUUAAUUUAAACAAUUUUUAGCCUAUUGACUGCUGCUCAAGAACUUCAUAUAGAUGCCACGUUUAAAAGCAGGCCCCUUGUUCCACAAACAGAACAACUGUUGAUAAUUAUAGCCAUGUACAUGGACCAGGCAUUUCCCGUUGCAUACGCAUUAAUGACCCGCAAUACUGAAAUGGCGUACACUAGUGUAUUGGACCAUAUUA